rnacentral:antisense_RNA from 1 species
AAUAGCCGGAACAAUCAACAAUAGCAACAAACCGGGGACGAUCAUCGCCAAUGCCCAGACACCCCAGUCCAAAUUUACACCCAAUAUUUGAGCGGCAAAAUCUGCGGUCAGCAAGUUGGGUGCCAUCGCCGUGAUGAACAUAAAGCUACUGACUUUCAUUACGAAGUAGAUGUUAGACAUCAAAUAAGAACCGGCUUUCUUUGCCGUUUCACCAGGCUCCGAACCCAAGGCUUUCACUACCGAGUGGAUUAU